GGAAGGUCCAGGCGUUAUCCGGAUUUAUUGGGUUUAAAGGGAGCGUAGGCUGGAGAUUAAGUGUGUUGUGAAAUGUAGACGCUCAACGUCUGAAUUGCAGCGCAUACUGGUUUCCUUGAGUACGCACAACGUUGGCGGAAUUCGUCGUGUAGCGGUGAAAUGCUUAGAUAUGACGAAGAACUCCGAUUGCGAAGGCAGCUGACGGGAGCGCAACUGACGCUUAAGCUCGAAGGUGCGGGUAUCAAACAGGAUUAGAUACCCUGGUAGUCCGCACAGUAAACGAUGGAUGCCCGCUGUUGGUACCUGGUAUCAGCGGCUAAGCGAAAGCAUUAAGCAUCCCACCUGGGGAGU
rnacentral:rRNA from 1 species